GAAAACCACAGUAGGUCCCUCCAGCAGUCAAACUUAGAGGCAGAAAGACAAGAUGGGGCAGCAGUGGUUACACAACAUCUUUCCUGAAGAGACAUGAGUAGAUGUAGGUUCCCCAGAGAGGCGCCUUCAGACGAAAGGAACAUUCCACCCAAGUCCAGUGUGGUCAGCCACCAGAUUCAGCCUGCAGGCCCGCAGCGCCUUGACCAGUCCAGCCACUGAGGCGUUCUUCUUCUCGGCAUUCUUCCAGACUUUCAGGCUCUCCCUUACCUGCUCGCUCAGACUUCGGGGGUACUUCUCCUCAAUCCCAUCAAUCUUGGCCUCAGACAACUUCAGCUGGCGGGCCAGUCUUUUCCAGUCUCUCCCCACAUUGUCACACACAAUGUCAAAUGCCACCUGCAGAUCUAGGAGGGAAAAGAACAGCGUGACUUGACUGAGGAGCUGGGGCAAGUCUCCCCACGGGCUACCAAGCACGGGCCUGAGCACUUCGAAGGCAACAUCACCAACGCCAGUCAGGUCCUGUGCAGACACCAAGUAGCACGGGAGCUACUUCAAGAGACCCACAGUGGCCUCUUGAUCUGCCCAGCCACACUCCCUCAGCCUGGGCCACAGCGAGCUAUGGCUUAGAAGACUGCCAACUGGAAAGGACUGGAGCGUCAGAGGGAAAAAGCCAGGUUGCCCUAACACCCCGCUCAAUAGUGGGUUGGCCAAAGUCCCCAAAGCUACAUCCUACAUUGUGACCUUUGCUGGUUUGAUCAGACACUACGAAAGGUCUGUCACUGCCCUACUCUGGAGCCCCUGCUGGACACAGGCAAGGUGUAAUCUCUGUAGGGAACUCUGGGCAGUGGCUGGAGACCCCUUAUUUGAUUCCUGUAACAGUAACAAACAUUGGAAUGUCUUGUAGAUGUGAAUACACAGCCUAUUUUCGUGUGGAUCUUGCACACACCGGCUUUACUCCACAGGCCCUCCACCUGCUUUGACUUCCUGCAUCACUGCAGACAAAGAGCAGCGGAGACAACCAACCAGGAACUAAAUAAAUCUUUGCCCCUUU
rnacentral:lncRNA from 1 species